ACGCGUGGAUACCUACCCCCAGGUUCAGGAUAGCCGCGGGAAACUGCGGGUAAUACUGAAUAAUGUCUCCGGACCAAAGGUGUAAUUCCUCCCGGGGAUGGGUCCGCGUCCUAUUAGCUAGUUGGCAGGGUAAUGGCCUACCAAGGCAAAGAUGGGUAUGGGGUGUGAGAGCAUGCCCCCACUCACUGGGACUGAGACACUGCCCAGACACCUACGGGUGGCUGCAGUCGAGGAUCUUCGGCAAUGGGCGCAAGCCUGACCGAGCGACGCCGCGUGCGGGAUGAAGGCCUUCGGGUUGUAAACCGCUGUCAGAGGGGAUGAAUGGCCGUAGGGUUCUCUCUACGGUUUGACAUAUCCUCAGAGGAAGGACGGGCUAAGUUCGUGCCAGCAGCCGCGGUAAGACGAACCGUCCAAACGUUAUUCGGAAUCACUGGGCUUAAAGGGUGCGUAGGCGGUUCGGAAAGUUGGGUGUGAAAGCCCUCGGCUCAACCGAGGAAUUGCGCCCAAAGCUACCGGGCUAGAGGAAGAUAGAGGUGAGCGGAACUUAGGGUGGAGCGGUGAAAUGCGUUGAUAUCCUAAGGAACACCAGUAGCGAAAGCGGCUCACUGGGUCUUUUCUGACGCUGAGGCACGAAAGCUAGGGGAGCGAAGAGGAUUAGAUACCCUGGUAUCC
rnacentral:rRNA from 1 species